rnacentral:rRNA from 1 species
AUGUGAAUCUCGAAAGCCUGUCUCAGUUCGGAUUGGAGGCUGAAACCCGCCUCCAUGAAGUUGGAUUCGCUAGUAAUCGCGCAUCAGCCAUGGCGCGGUGAAUACGUUCCCGGGCCUUGUACACACCGCCCGUCAAGCCAUGGGAGCCGGGGGUGCCUGAAGUUCGUGACCGCAAGGAGCGACCUAGGGCAAAACCGGUGACUGGGGCUAAGUCGUAACAAGGUACC